rnacentral:misc_RNA from 1 species
GAAAUGCGAUACGUAGUGUGAAUUGCAGAAUUCAGUGAAUCAUCGAAAUCUUGAACGCAUCUUGCGCUUGUGGUCACCCACAAGCAUACCUGUUUGAGUGUCGUUUUACCAUCAUCUCCAAACCUAAAAGACUUGGAAGUGGAAUUGAGCGUUAAAGUUGUAACCAGCUUCAUCGCUUUAAAAUCAGUGGGGACUACUUCGCCUGGAAGGAGAGCUACUUUGUCUAAUGUUCUUGCAGUCCUAGGGUGUGCUUUAACGUGGUUUUACCAUGAUUUUCUCACACUUGAAUGCUGCUUUACCCUGAAAAGGGAAGGGCGGAAGGCAAUGGUUCUUUUUGCUUGCAAUCUUACCCCGUCAAAACAUUCUUUUUAAACCUUGCGACCUCAAAUCAGGUAAGACU